UUUUUUUCUUUUUUCAAAAUAAAAUUUAUAAUUUAGUAUUAUUGUUGAGAGGCCAAAAAUAUAGGCUUUUGUAGUUAAAAGGGUGUAUUUUUCCUAACACAAAACCCACGGGCCAACAUAGGAGAGCAUGGGCCUUGCCUAUAAAUACUGUCUUCGUAUUCAAUCCCUUUUAGGGUUCCGCCUCCAACCCUUCUCUUCAUUCCAUCGUUAUGUGGAGAGGUUUCAAUGCCAGAACACAUACCAAGCAAGGAGCAUCCCAUACCAGAUCAAACAACAAGUUAAACAUAGAGAAAGGAGAGCUCAAAGUGAAUCUCAAUUGGCUGCAGACGAAGGUGUUUGAAAGAAUGUCACAGUGAUAUAUGAAAUAUACGUAAAACUAAGGGAUUGGGGUGGUUUUGAUUUCACAUUAUUUUUGUUAACACUAGUAUUAUAAUUCAUUAUUCUAACAAUGAAUUAGCAUGUUUGUUUUGAUUUUCUAGAAGCAACUUAACGUCUUCAUCCAUAUAAACAACAACUUUUUUUCUUUUACUUUCUCUAUUUUGUCAUUGUUGAGGUUUAUUGAGUUUCAGGUGGAGGUUUGCUUAGUUUGACAGCAACCCUGAGAAUUACUACCCAUUCCAAUAGUGAGAUUCUUUUGAUAUUAAUUGUUUUCGUAUUCAAAGAAUUAAUUAUUUUCGUACUCAA